rnacentral:rRNA from 1 species
CGGUUGGUCGGGUGCGUGUUUACCAUGCAAGUCGAACGAUGAACCUCCUUCGGGAGGGGAUUAGUGGCGAACGGGUGAGUAACACGUGGGCAAUCUGCCCUGCACUCUGGGACAAGCCCUGGAAACGGGGUCUAAUACCGGAUACGACUCGGGAGGGCAUCCUUCCGGGUGGAAAGCUCCGGCGGUGCAGGAUGAGCCCGCGGCCUAUCAGCUUGUUGGUGGGGUGAUGGCCUACCAAGGCGACGACGGGUAGCCGGCCUGAGAGGGCGACCGGCCACACUGGGACUGAGACACGGCCCAGACUCCUACGGGAGGCAGCAGUGGGGAAUAUUGCACAAUGGGCGAAAGCCUGAUGCAGCGACGCCGCGUGAGGGAUGACGGCCUUCGGGUUGUAAACCUCUUUCAGCAGGGAAGAAGCGCAAGUGACGGUACCUGCAGAAGAAGCGCCGGCUAACUACGUGCCAGCAGCCGCGGUAAUACGUAGGGCGCAAGCGUUGUCCGGAAUUAUUGGGCGUAAAGAGCUCGUAGGCGGCUUGUCGCGUCGGAUGUGAAAGCUCGGGGCUUAACCCCGGGUCUGCAUUCGAUACGGGCAGGCUAGAGUGUGGUAGGGGAGAUCGGAAUUCCUGGUGUAGCGGUGAAAUGCGCAGAUAUCAGGAGGAACACCGGUGGCGAAGGCGGAUCUCUGGGCCAUUACUGACGCUGAGGAGCGAAAGCGUGGGGAGCGACAGGAUUAGAUACCCUGGUAGUCCACGCCGUAAACGUUGGGAACUAGGUGUUGGCGACAUUCCACGUCGUCGGUGCCGCAACUAACGCAUUAAGUUCCCCGCAUGGGGAGUACGGCCGCAAGGCUAAACUCAAAGGAAUUGACGGGGGGCCUGCACAAGCAGCGGA